UCUUCCGCUCACUCUCUACAGCAGAAGCCAUUGAGACCGUGAGACCCAUUUCUGCACACUCAUCAUUCGAAGUAUGAAUUAUCAGAAUUUACCUUGAUCUUUCGACACUUUCAAUGAUUCCAGAAGAGAUCGUAUCACCGCAAGUGGGGGUGAGGUCAGUCAACUAAAUGCAGGUGGUGGUGUAGAGAGAUUCCAUGUUGGCAUGGAGAA